UGAACGGAUAUUUGCUGAUAGGGUCAUCAAAGCUGAUGGAGAUGAUCUGGUUCCUGAAUAUUUAGUCAAAUGGCAAGGACUUCCUUAUGCAGAAUCUACCUGGGAAAAAGAUACAUAUAUCGAUUUUGCUCAAGAUGCAAUUGAUGAAUAUAAGACAGGCAAUUGAAAAUGAGAAUUGAUCUUUUUUAUGGGCGAAGUGUUGAAGAUGGCUUUGGUGAAGAAAAUGUCUUGUUAGCAUCAAGUAAGUGGCGACAUCACAACCCCUACAAGCUUGUGCCUUAAAACAAGAGGAUACAAGAAGUUGGAGUGCUUUUGUGAAGGCUUUUGCGAAUCACUUGAAGCAUUAGUACUUUUGUGAAUGAUUUUGUAAAGUGUUUGCAAAUAUGUGCAAAACAUAAUAACAUGUGUAGGUUUUGUGAAUGAUU